GACAAGUUCGAAGCAGGUUCGAAGCCGGUGUGAAACAUCAACCCUGACAAAUGCCACCAUCAAUUUGAGAAGACGAAGAGCCUGGUGUGAUACAGCUGCGAUGACUGACUUUGUAUUUCAAAACAAGUCCUUAUCUCUUCCCAAGUAGAAACUUGGUUUCAGUUCCAACCUUUCCUACUCAGUUGUCGUUAAAACAAUCGCCCAUUGUUUUGGGAAAGCACCAAAACGAAUCUGACAUGGCGGUAGUUGGAGACAAAAGCUCUGAAAAGAUUACUGGUUUGGCAAAGCUCUCCAUUGAAAGUCAACUCAAGUCAACCACCAGGUAACAAUUCACGUUAGGUGAGGAGCAACAGCCUCUCUUUUCUCUGGUAACAGCCAAGAGGGAGGGAGGAGUUUAAACAACGGCCCUCUGCACAUAAAAAAUGGAGGCUUGUGCACAGAAGCCAUGGUGUCCUGCUCCUCAGACUACAAGCUGCUCUUUCUCCUCUUGAAGCCCUCUAAAACGACAACCACCGCUAGAUUCUGCGCCAGGAAGCUUUGAAAUGUUGUCAUGUCGGUGCUGCCCCUGCCUGCACUGAACAAAGAUAAUUACUCAGGAAACAUUUCAGCCAAUCAGACGCAGCCUUGCAUCUUGCCUCUGAGGAAAGCAACCAGUCAGGAUCUGGCUAACAUCGCUGGGGCCUGAUCGCCUUGCCUGAAGAGCGGAGCCUUCCCCGGCUGAGGGCUGAGAGUGUCCUCCAUGUUUUAUAAGUGUUGACAUAACAGUGUGUCAGGCAGCCAUGCAUCCACAGAGUCUGGCUGAGGAGGAGGUAAAGACAGAGUCUGAUGUGGUAGAGGGGAUGGAUGCAUCUGCACGAUCCAAAGUCCCUGACCCAGCAGGGUCAGCAGAACGACCGGGUGCACCACAGAAGAGAAAGGUUUCGAGUCCCACCCACUCCUCGAAUGGACACUCUCCAUCAGACACCUCUCCCAGCCCAGUCAAGAAAAAGAAGAAACCUGGAGCCAUUCACGGGAACAGCAAAGAUCAGUCAGAGCUAAGACAUGGUCCCUUUUACUAUAUGAAGCAGCCAGCACUCACCACAGACCCUGUUGAUGUUGUACCGCAGGAUGGAAGGAAUGACUUCUACUGCUGGUUGUGCCACCGCGAGGGCCAGGUGCUCUGCUGUGAGCUCUGCCCCAGGGUGUACCACGCCAAGUGCCUCAAACUACCAGCCGAGCCCGAGGGCGACUGGUUCUGUCCAGAGUGUGAGAAAAUAACAGUGGCUGAAUGCAUUGAAACCCAGAGCAAGGCAAUGACACUGCUGACAUUAGACCAACUGUCCUACUUGCUCAAAUUCGCACUUCAAAAGAUCAAACAACCUGGGACUGAGCCUUUUCUGAAGCCGGUGUCUCUCGAUCAGCACCCAGAUUAUGCUGAGUACAUUUUCCAUCCCAUGGACUUGUCAACUUUAGAGAAGAAUAUCAAAAAGAAAAUGUAUGGCUGCACAGAAGCCUUUCUUGCUGACAUGAAAUGGAUCUUACACAACUGCAUCAUCUAUAAUGGAGGUAAUCACAAAUUAACAGCCACUGCGAAGGUCAUUGUAAAGAUUUGUGAACAUGAGAUGAAUGAGAUCGAAGUGUGUCCAGAGUGCUACCUGUCUUCAUGCCAAAAGAGGGACAACUGGUUUUGUGAGCCAUGUAGUCCACCCCACCCGCUGGUGUGGGCGAAGCUGAAAGGCUUUCCUUUCUGGCCAGCAAAAGCACUUCGGGAAAAGGACGGGCAGGUAGACGCACGCUUCUUUGGGCAACAUGACAGGGCCUGGGUCCCCAUCAACAACUGCUACCUCAUGUCCAAAGAGAUCCCCUUCUCAGUGAAAAAGACAAAAAGCAUCUUCAACAGUGCCAUGCAAGAAAUGGAGGUCUAUGUGGAAAACAUUCGCAAGAAAUUUGGGGUCUUCAACUAUGCACCUUUCCGCACUCCCUUCACACCCAACAACCAGCUGCAGAUGUUACUGGACCCCUCCAACCCCAGUGCUGGGACAGUGAAGACGGAGAAACCAGACAAACUUCGCUUUAACUUCGAUAUAACCGCUUCUCCCAAGAUGGUGCUAGGCAAAAGUUCAACUCCCAGUAUGAGUCGGAGGGUCUCCAUGACGGACAUGCCUCGGUCUCCCAUGAGCACCAACUCGUCCGUUCACACAGGGUCUGAUGGGGAGCAGGAUAUGGAGAAGCCGGGCAGGAAUCCUGCCUUCCACUACAGCACUGGAGAGGAAUCGAUGGACUGCACUGCCUCUCCGAUGUCAGGGAAGAUGGGUCCUGGAGGCAGUGUGACAGGCAGCCCGAAGCCCUUUAACCCUGGACAGGUGCCAAAGCAAGAAAGGACUGCAAGCACAGGUGGCAUUCUUAAUCUCAACCUGGAUCGAGUAAAGGCUGAGAUGGAUCUGAAGGAGCUGAGUGAGACGGUGCAACAACAACAACAACAACAUCAGCAACAGCAGGGAUCUUCUGCAAACCUCCCAACCCCAAAGAGGCCCAUCAGGAGCCUGGACAAAACAAUUGAGAGCUGCAAAGCACAGCUUGGGAUCGAUGAGAUUUCUGAAGAUGUGUACAAAGGUGUGGAUCACAGUGACUCUGAAGACUCUGAGAAAUCAGACUCGAGUGACAGCGAGUAUCUGAGCGACGAGGACCACAAGCCAAAGAGCUCUACACAUGAAGACAAAGACAGAGCAGAGAGAAAAAGGCCCAAAGCAAGCUCAGAGGGAGAGAGUAAGGAGGGGAUUACAGGGGCAGGGGAUAAAGUCACCUCUGAACCUCAACUCAAAGACAAACAUGCUAGUAAUGGUCCAGAUAGGGACCUCCAGGACAAGCCCAAAACGCCCCAAAAUCAGCCCCACACUGAGAAGCCCAAAGCUCCAGAGGAGGGCAGAGCAGCUGCUGCUACAUCAGUGGGUGAGCAGGACUCUGAUUCUGAAAGAGAGCUGGUCAUUGAUUUGGGAGAUGAACAUGGAGGCCGUGACUCAAAGAGGGCAAGAAGAGAAGCUGGGGCUUCUGCUGCCAAAACUCCCAAAGAGUCUAAUGCUGUCAGGUUGGAAGGUAAAGUUCCCUCGUCUGCUGCAGCAGCUACACCAUCACGAGACGCUGUGUCCAAUCUGAAGGACUCUGUACAACCGGCCAUCACCGCAGCCCUCAACCUUGUGUCCACUGCAGCCUCUGGUCAGACCUCUGCCACCACAGCUACCACCAAUGUUCCCUCUCCUGCAGCCACUUCUAUCUCUGCAACAUCCCCAGUACCUGCAGCUGUGAAGAAACAGCGCCCUCUGCUGCCUAAAGAGACAGCUCAGGCCGUGCAGCGGGCGGUGGUUUGGAAUCCAACCAAAUUCCAGACCUCCUCUCAGAAGUGGCACAUGCAGAAAGUGCAGAGGCAGCAGCAGCAUGGAGAGCAGUCGGCAGUGCAGGCAGAGGCCCCGAGUCAGGCACGCAGCCCACAGCAGCUGCAGAACUCCUCCUCCUCUAGUACCCGAUAUCAGACCAGACAAGCAGUGAAAGUGCAACAAAAAGACACCCCUCAGAGUACAUCGUCAUCGACAGCUGCUCAGGUCACAUCUGGUAGCUCCUCUUCUUACACAUCAGGAGACUUGCAGAUCCCCACAGUCUCAGCAGAUGUUGCUGCAGAUAUUGCCAAGUACACAAACAAAAUCAUGGACUCGAUAAAAGGGACAAUGACUGAAAUCUACAACGACCUUUCCAAAAGCACAUCAGGAAACACGAUUGCAGAGAUAAGACGUCUAAGGAUAGAGAUUGAAAAGCUCCAGUGGCUACAUCAGCAAGAGCUCUCAGAGAUGAAGCACAAUCUUGAAUUGACGAUGGCAGAGAUGAGGCAGAGUCUGGAGCAGGAGAGAGAACGGUUGGUGGCUGAAGUGAAAAAGCAGACUGAGUCUGACAAGCAGCAAGCAGUGGAUGAAACCAAAAAGAAACAGUGGUGCGCAAACUGCAGGAAAGAGGCCAUCUUCUACUGCUGCUGGAAUACAAGUUACUGUGAUUACCCCUGCCAGCAGGCCCACUGGCCAGAACACAUGAAGUCCUGCACACAGUCAGAUAGAACUUCUGAGUCAGCACCCUCUCCACACUAGUAUUUGUAUGAUACAGUAUCCUGCAAUUAAUACCAAAUGUGCAAUAAGCAUGAAAUCACCACCAUGUGUCCUCAGCUUCACAACAAGAGCCAGAAGCAGAACCCAACUCAGACCCUGCAGUCAAAUCAUCAGGGCACUCUCCCUCCACACAGACCCUGCCCUCAGCAGCAGGAUCCAUAUCAGACAAAAGCAACUCUCCCACGUAUAUGGAAAAGAGCAAGGACAGUGCUGGUGUUCCUGUGACCUAACUACUACACUACAGUUACUCUCAGACAUUUUGCAAGGCCACUGUUGUGUUGUCCUGUCAAACUUAAAGCUUGAAGGCCUGCACCUCUGCGACAAAUCACUUUCAUUCCCAUGUUCUGUUUCAUCUCUCAUCCAGAGUAUCUACAGGAGUGUGUUCAUGUGGAUAUUCACCAUGUGAAAGAAGUCUGUCUUAAAUAAUAAAAUGUGAGUCUGUAUGUUUUCAUACUGUGGUUUUGUUCUGUGGCUUUGUUGACACCACUUUGGUUCAAGGCUGAACAAGAUUGUAUCCAAUCACAGAAUAUUUGCCACAUUAACACUGUCAAUGCUGCUCUUCAUAGCUGUUUACUUUGUGGAUGCUUUCCAUUUCAUAAAAAAACAUUUGAAACAGCCAUCAACAGUUGUUGCUCAUUCAUCAAGGUGCCAUCAGAAGUAUUUUCAGUUAUGCAAGCUUCAGUUUCAAAAACAUGUCCACUUAAAGACACCAUGUUUCAACUAUCAAUGUUAGCUGUGGCAUUUCUGGUGCAUACCUUUUUUUGUUACAUAGUUCUUCAUUUGUAUAGACCUGAAAAAAAAAAUCUGUGAUUUAUCAAAGAACUUAAAAAUGUAAACUGUAAAAAGUUUUUGUAAGAAAGUACCUGAACAAUAUUUAUAGUGUUUUUAUAGUAUGUUUAAUUAAAUCACAUUUCUAUGUGUCUAAACAAAAUUAUUUGAAAAGAAAUAACUUCACAUGAAUGUCAGCUCAGAGCAAACUCUCUGUUUAACUGUUAUCCAAAGCUGAUGACCAGACUUUAAGAAGUUGGUAGGCAUAAAUAAAACUGCAUUUUGGCUGGAUGUUCUUUCCUGUGAGCAUGUCUGUUAUGAGCUUGUGUCUCGUUCGUGUUUACAUGCUGUACAUACAAUAAAUGGAGUCGUGAAGAAAUAAAUAAAAAUGCUCUGAUCAACUUA